GACGAACGCUGGCGGCGUGCCUAAUACAUGCGAGUCGAGCGAGAGCAACCGGUGCUUGCACUGGUCAAUCUAGUGGCGAACGGGUGAGUAACACGUGGGUAACCUGCCCAUCAGAGGGGGAUAACAUCCGGAAACGGAUGCUAAAACCGCAUAGGUCUUCGAACCGCAUGGUUUGAAGAGGAAAAGAGGCGCAAGCUUCUGCUGAUGGAUGGACCCGCGGUGCAUUAGCUAGUUGGUGAGGUAACGGCUCACCAAGGCCGUGAUGCAUAGCCGACCUGAGAGGGUGAUCGGCCACAUUGGGACUGAGACACGGCCCAAACUCCUACGGGAGGCAGCAGUAGGGAAUCUUCCGCAAUGGACGCAAGUCUGACGGAGCAACGCCGCGUGAGUGAAGAAGGUUUUCGGAUCGUAAAACUCUGUUGUUAGAGAAGAACAAGUGCUAGAGUAACUGUUAGCGCCUUGACGGUAUCUAACCAGAAAGCCACGGCUAACUACGUG
rnacentral:rRNA from 1 species